rnacentral:rRNA from 1 species
ACGGAAGGCGGCAGUGGGGAAUAUUGCACAAUGGGGGAAACCCUGAUGCAGCGACGCCGCGUGAGCGAAGAAGUAUUUCGGUAUGUAAAGCUCUAUCAGCAGGGAAGAAAAUGACGGUACCUGACUAAGAAGCCCCGGCUAACUACGUGCCAGCAGCCGCGGUAAUACGUAGGGGGCAAGCGUUAUCCGGAUUUACUGGGUGUAAAGGGAGCGUAGACGGCAAGGCAAGUCUGAAGUGAAAUGCCGGGGCGCAACCCCGGAACUGCUUUGGAAACUAUCUCGCUCGAGUACCGGAGGGGUAAGCGGAAUUCCUAGUGUAGCGGUGAAAUGCGUAGAUAUUAGGAGGAACACCAGUGGCGAAGGCGGCUUACUGGACGGUAACUGACGUUGAGGCUCGAAAGCGUGGGGAGCAAACAGGAUUAGAUACCCUGGUA